rnacentral:rRNA from 1 species
UUACGGUCAAAUCACGCUGAAACACCGGUUCUCGUACGAUCACCGAAGUUAAGCAGCGUAGAGCCAGGUCAGUACUUAGAUGGGGACCGCUUGGGAACACCUGGUACUGUAAG